GAUGAACGCUAGCUACAGGCUUAACACAUGCAAGUCGAGGGGAAACGACAUCGAAAGCUUGCUUUUGAUGGGCGUCGACCGGCGCACGGGUGAGUAACGCGUAUCCAACCUGCCCAUCACUUGGGAAUAACCUUGCGAAAGUAAGACUAAUACCCAAUGACAUCCCACGAAGACAUCUGAAUGGGAUUAAAGAUUUAUCGGUGAUGGAUGGGGAUGCGUCUGAUUAGCUUGUUGGCGGGGUAACGGCCCACCAAGGCAACGAUCAGUAGGGGUUCUGAGAGGAAGGUCCCCCACAUUGGAACUGGGACACGGUCCAAACUCCUACGGGAGGCAGCAGUGAGGAAUAUUGGUCAAUGGGCGAGAGCCUGAACCAGCCAAGUAGCGUGCAGGAUGACGGCCCUAUGGGUUGUAAACUGCUUUUAUAAGGGAAUAAAGUGGGUCUCGUGAGACUUUUUGCAUGUACCUUAUGAAUAAGGACCGGCUAAUUCCGUG
rnacentral:rRNA from 1 species